UACGGGGGGGGCAAGCGUUGUUCGGAAUUACUGGGCGUAAAGGGUGCGUAGGUGGUUUCUUAAGUCAGAGGUGAAAGGCUACGGCUCAACCGUAGUAAGCCUUUGAAACUGAGAAACUUGAGUGCAGGAGAGGAGAGUAGAAUUCCUAGUGUAGCGGUGAAAUGCGUAGAUAUUAGGAGGAAUACCAGUUGCGAAGGCGGCUCUCUGGACUGUAACUGACACUGAGGCACGAAAGCGUGGGGAGCAAACAGG
rnacentral:rRNA from 1 species